rnacentral:rRNA from 1 species
GACGAACGCUGGCGGCGUGCUUAACACAUGCAAGUCGUACGGUAAGGCCCUUUCGGGGGUCCCCGAGUGGCGAACGGGCGGGUAGCACGUGAGUAACCUGCCCACAACUUGAGGGUAACGCUAGGCAACUGGUGCUAAUACUUAAUAUGUGCUCCUGCUGCAUGGUGGGGGUUGGAAAGCUCCGGCGGUUGUGGGUGGACUCGCGGCCUAUCAGCUUGUUGGUGUGGUAGUGGCCUACCAAGGCGGCGACGGGUAGCCGGCCGGAGAGGGUGACAGGCCACAUUGGGUCUUAGGGACGGCACAGAUGCCGACGGGUGGAAGCAGGGGGGAAGACUGCAGAAGCGGUGCAAGCCGUAUGCAGCAGCGCCGCGGGCUGGAAGACGGUCUUCGGGGUGUAAACCGCUUUCAGCAGGGUCGAAGCUCUCUGUGACGGUACCUGCAGAAGAAGCACCGGCUAACUACGUG